rnacentral:misc_RNA from 1 species
UGGCGAACGGGUGAGUAAUAUAUCGGAACGUACCCAAGAGUGGGGGAUAACGUAGCGAAAGUUACGCUAAUACCGCAUACGAUCUAAGGAUGAAAGCAGGGGAUCUUCGGACCUUGUGCUCCUGGAGCGGCCGAUAUCUGAUUAGCUAGUUGGUGAGGUAAAGGCUCACCAAGGCCACGAUCAGUAGCUGGUCUGAGAGGACGACCAGCCACACUGGAACUGAGACACGGUCCAGACUCCUACGGGAGGCAGCAGUGGGGAAUUUUGGACAAUGGGCGAAAGCCUGAUCCAGCAAUGCCGCGUGAGUGAAGAAGGCCUUCGGGUUGUAAAGCUCUUUUGUCAGGGAAGAAACGGUUUGGGCUAAUAUCCUGAGCUAAUGACGGUACCUGAAGAAUAAGCACCGGCUAACUACGUGCCAGCAGCCGCGGUAAUACGUAGGGUGCAAGCGUUAAUCGGAAUUACUGGGCGUAAAGCGUGCGCAGGCGGUUUUGUAAGUCUGACGUGAAAUCCCCGGGCUCAACCUGGGAAUUGCGUUGGAGACUGCAAGGCUAGAAUCUGGCAGAGGGGGGUAGAAUUCCACGUGUAGCAGUGAAAUGCGUAGAGAUGUGGAGGAACACCGAUGGCGAAGGCAGCCCCCUGGGUCAAGAUUGACGCUCAUGCACGAAAGCGUGGGGAGCAAACAGGAUUAGAUACCCUGGUAGUCCACGCCCUAAACGAUGUCUACUAGUUGUCGGGUUUUAAUUAACUUGGUAACGCAGCUAACGCGUGAAGUAGACCGCCUGGGGAGUACGGUCGCAAGAUUAAAACUCAAAGGAAUUGACGGGGACCCGCACAAGCGGUGGAUGAUGUGGAUUAAUUCGAUGCAACGCGAAAAACCUUACCUACCCUUGAC